GUGACGGGCAGCGGUUUUCACCACCCUCCUGUUGCCACCUGGGGAUUCCCUGGAUGAAGCCCAGGUAGUCCCAGUAAAGGAAGGAGAAUGGCCCUGUUCCCUGUGUGCAGGAGGAGAGAAGAGCGUGAACCCGUGGGGAGCCUCCUUGACAGUUCCUUCUGAGGCUUUGGAGAGCUACCAAGGCAGCCUGCAUGAAAACAGCUCAGUCCCUGUUUGGAUUUAUCUGCCUUUGCUCUAUUACCUUUCUGAAGCUGAAGACUCAACCAGAUAGGUGGCAGUGGAGAAACUUCCCACUGUUUCUCCUUUGAACCCAGCUGGACACCACCCUGAAGUUCCAGUACAUGGAGAUAGCCAGUAAAUGAACAAUUGAUGACCUGUGUUGAAGAGAGAGGGCAUGUUGCCUAGGGGUAAUGGCCACCAGCAAACACAACCCUCUGGAUGAAAGACUGUUGAUCAUCUCAGUCCGUGGAACAGAACAGGGGGUCUGUGGGUGGUGGACACCAGAAGCAUAGGGCCUGGAACAUUAGUGAACAGACAUAACAACUGAUGGCCACUAAGGACAUUUCCUGGCUCUGGCUCCUCUGCCCUUAAGAAUCCGGACAGUCCAUGAGCACUGUUACGGGCCAUCUCUUAGCUGAAGAAGUCAACUGGGCAUUACCCUCCACUGGAACAUGAACUUCCAGAUGCAAGGAGUGCAGUCAGUUCAUCUGAGAAUGUAUAUCCGCCUGCCCAGAGGCAGGGAGAAGAUGGCAAGGUGCUAUCCUCUCCAGGAUUCAGCUCUGAAGCCUCUUAACUGUGCACUUAAUAAAUGAAGCCUUGGCAGACACACCUUGAAUUAUUAAUGAAGUUAUUCAGCUUUGAUUGUUUCCUUCUUUUGGGGAAAGGUUAUUCACUCAAAUGCCUUUGAUUAGACUACACAAUACAUCACAAUUGGGCAUAUUUUAUGUGCAACUUUAUGGCGAUAAUAGUUCUGUCUCAUUUAGAAGCAAAUCAGACAUUAUGAACUUCGUGAUUUAUUAAUGUAUUGAUUUCUAUAAAUGUCAGCGCAUCUCACAUCCUGCCAGAGAGCCCGGGAGCAAUCAGUGAAAGGCCAAUAAAAAUGUAAAAUGAAACCAUCAUAAAAAGAGGAAAUACUGCCUGUUUCCAAGCCCUGCUGCCUCUCUAUAUUGUCUCAGGGUCUACAUCAUUACCAUGAAGGCAUCCCCCCACCUACAAGGAAACAGCCUUGAUGGUGGGGGAGGGGGCUCUAUCCUGCUUAAAUCUAUUUUAAAUAAAAAGAAGGUUGUAUGGCAGGAGAAAUAAAAAACAAGAGGUGAAGAGUGGGACCUGGAGGGGCCCCAGGGCUAGUGCCUAGAUUCCUCACCCUGGAGAAAGCAGGAGGAGGAGGAGGAAUCCCUUUCCAUCAGAUUCACCCCACAACAACCCCCCACCUUCCUGCUGAGGAACCUUCAAGACAGAGCCUAGAUUUUCCUGCUGGCGCUGAAGAGUCCACGCUAGGGCCCUGGUCUACCUUUCCAGACGAUUCCCCAAUUCUGAGCCCAGUACAUUUCAGCCUUAUACUUUACAGAGUACUUUCACAUUGCUUAACCCCUGUGAGGUAUGCAUAAUAUUAUUCUCAUUUUACCGAAGAGAAGACGGAGGCUCAGAGAAGAAAGAGAAAAGGUGACACUUCUGAGCACUGCCUAUUUGCAGAGCACUGUGACAUGUACUUUGCUUACAUGAUCUCACUUAAUUCUCUCAUAGCUUUAAUUGUUGAUUUCUUAUUAGCUAAUUAUUGUUCCUAUUUUAUUAGGAGAAAUUGAAUCAGCAAUUUCAGGAGGCAUCCUUGGGGUCACAGAGAC
rnacentral:lncRNA from 1 species